rnacentral:tRNA from 1 species
AGUGUAGCUCAGUGAUAGAGCACUUGCCUAAUAUGCAUGAGGCCUUGAGUUUGAUCCCCAGCACU